AUGUAUGGGAUAUAUGGGGUUAUAUGGGAUGUUAUGUGGGAUGUUAUGUGGGAUAUAGGGGAUGUAUGGGGUUAUAUGGGAUGUUAUAUGGGAUAUAUGGGGUUAUAUGGGAUAUAUGGGGUUAUAUGGGGUGUUAUAUGGGAUAUAGGGGAUAUAUGGGAUGUUAUAUGGGAUAUAGGGGAUGUAUGGGAUAUAUGGGGUUAUAUGGGAUGUUAUAUGGGAUAUAGGGGGUGUAUGGGGUUAUAUGGAGUUAUAUGGGAUAUAGGGGAUGUAUGGGAUAUAUGGGAUGUUAUAGGGGAUAUAUGGGGUUAUAUGGGAUAUAUGGGGUUAUAUGGGGUUAUAUGGGGUGUUAUAUGGGAUAUAGGGAAUGUAUGGGGUUAUAUGGGAUGUUAUAUGGGAUAUAUGGGAUAUAUGGGGUUAUAUGGGGUUAUAUGGGAUAUAUGGGAUGUUAUAUGGGAUAUAGGGGAUGUAUGGGGUUAUAUGGGAUGUUAUAUGGGAUAUAUGGGGUUAUAUGGGAUAUGGGGGGGUAUAUGGGAUAUAUGGGGUUAUAUGGGAUGUUAUAUGGGAUAUAUGGGGUUAUAUGGAAUAUAUGGGAUAUAUGGGAUAUAUGGGGUUAUAUGGGAUAUAUGGGGUUAUAUGGGGUUAUGUGGGAUAUAUGGGGUUAUAUGGGAUAUAUGGGGUGUUAUAUGGGAUAUAUGGGGUGUUAUAUGGGAUAUAUGGGGUUAUAUGGGAUAUAUGGGGGGUUAUAUGGGAUAUAUGGGGGGUUAUAUGGGAUAUAUGGAGUUAUAUGGGGGACUAUAUGGGAUAUGUGGGGUUAUAUGGGGUUAUAUGGGAUGUAUGGGGUUAUAUGGGAUAUAUGGGAUAUACGGGGUUAUAUGGGGUUAUAUGGGAUAUAGGGGGUUAUAUGGGGUUAUAUGGGGUUGUAUGGGGUUACAUGGGAUAUAUGGGGUGUUAUAUGGGAUAUAUGAGGUUAUAUGGGGGGUUAUAUGGCGGUUUAUAUGGGAUAUAAGGGGUUAUAUGAGGAGUUAUAUGGGAUAUAAGGGGUUACAUGGGAUAUAUGGGGUUAUAAGGGGGGUUAUAUGGGUUAUNNNNNNNNNNNNNNNNNNNNNNNNNUAUGGGGUCUAUGGGGUCUCUAUGGGGUCUAUGGGGGGGGAUAUGGGGUCUAUGGGGUCUCUAUGGGGUCUAUGGGGGGGGAUAUGGGGUCUAUGGGGUUUCUAUGGGGUCUAUGGGGUUUAUAGGGUCUCUAUGGGGUCUCUAUGGGGUCUAUGGGGUUUCUAUGGGUCUCUAUGGGUCCCUAUGGGUCUCUAUGGGGUCUCUAUGGGGUCUAUGGGAGGAUAUGGGGUCCCUAUUAAGAUCUAUGGGGGUAUAUGGGGUCUAUAG
rnacentral:lncRNA from 1 species